UUCAUUCACUGAGAUUCAUUUCCAGCCAUAAUUUCAAAAUCACUUUCUUCGCCUCUGCAUUUGGCUUCCAUGAAUUUACACUCCACCUUCAUCUCUUCCACCUUAUUAUGCCCUAAAAUCCAAAUACAAUGCCUGCAACUUCUUCCACGAUCGCCAUUGCCGUCGCCAUGUUUAAGAACUAAUCUACAGAACUUCCAAAGGAGCAAAAGAUCAAAUAGAUACCACCGUCGGUUGCUCUGCUUCGAGCAAAAAGAGGAAGGUCUACAAUCUACAGAAGAAUUGCAGCCGGUUUCGUCGUCUGAGAAGAAAGGAACUGUUGCUGGAGCUAUGGCUUUUAUUAUUGGUACCAGUAUUGGAUCGGGGAUUCUUGCAAUUCCAGAGAAAGCGUCUCCGGCUGGAUUUUUCCCCAGUUCGAUAUCGAUAAUAAUAUGUUGGGGGUUUCUUUUAGUAGAAGCACUGGUGCUUGUUGAGAUUAGUGUGGUUCUGUGGAGGAGGAAGAAAAAGGAGAAGAAGGCCGAAGAGGGAGAGACGGGGAUGGAGGUGAUUUCAGUCAGAACUAUGGCGCAGGAGACUCUGGGUGAUUUUGGUGGAACCCUGGCCACUGUUACCUAUGUUUUCUUAGGCUACACUUCCAUGGUUGCCUAUAUUUCCAAGUCUGGAGAGAUCCUUCUCCAAUCAUUUAAUCUUCCAUCUCCACUUUCAGGCUUCCUUUUCACGUUGUUUUUUUCUCUGCUAAUCUCCGUCGGUAGGACCAGAGCCGUAGAUCAAGUCAACCAAUGGCUUACAGCUUGUAUGAUAGGUUUACUACUGGGAAUUGAAGUGUUAGCAGUUCAGUUUGGAGGCUGGUCCAUAAUAGAUGGGGGAGGAGACUGGAGGAAGGUCCCAACUACAAUACCUGUCAUUAUAUUUGCUUUGGUAUAUCAUGAUGUAAUACCAGUUCUAUGUGCUUAUUUGGAAGGUGACCUUCCUCGCCUAAGAGUUUCAGUUUUGCUUGGUAGCAUUAUUCCCCUGCUAGCAUUGCUUGUCUGGGAUGCAAUAGCCCUUGGCUUGUUAGGACAAGCAGAUCAAGUAAUUGACCCAGUUGAAUUGCUCCUGAGUGUUAAAUGGAGUGGAAUUUCUUACAUGGUAGAAUGGUUCUCACUUCUUGCUGUUGGAACAUCUAUGCUGGGAACAUUGCUAAGCUUCUCUUCAUUUUUCAAGGAGCAACUCAGUAACAUCUUUUCUGAUUUGUCUACAAGAGAGGCUUUGAAAGAACCACCGAAGUUCUGCUUAAUGAAGCACUGGUGGGAAAUGCAUAAAUUAGGCCUUACUGCCUUGGCAAUUGCUGUUGGUCCCUCCCUUCUUGUCUCCACUACUAAUCCUGAUUCAUUUUCUGCUGCUACAGAUAUUGCGGGAGGAUACUGCAUGACAAUGUUGUAUGGAGUUCUCCCCCCAGCAAUGGCAUGGGCAAUGCACAGUAGGGAAUCAGAGGAGACUGAAUCCAAGGUGUUAUCGAGAGAAAGGUCUGCACUACUUGGGCUAGGUUUAUUUGCUUGUGGUAUUGUUGUGGAACAAGUUAUCCAGGAUAUUCUGAAAUUGCAAUGGUAGCAAGUACAGGUACAGUCUAGAAUUGUUAGACAACUCUGCUCUUUGACUUUGAUGAACUAAACUGUUUCUUCUCAUCAAUAACUCAGAAACUCGAAGAACAAAGAACUGAAAGAGGGUGCAAAACAAUGGAAGAAGAGAGUAACUCAAGUAAGUUAGUGUAUAGAAGGAGUGGAAGACGAAGUCUCCUUUUAUAGUUUGGAGGAUGGAAUAGUUAUGAUCAAAUUCCUUUCAUGCAUCGAUUUUGUGGGCAAUUAAUUCCCCCAAGCAUAAAAUUUGUUCAAUGGCCUCUCAUCCUAGAUAAGAAUGCUCUUCUUGUUAAUUCACUCUUUUUUUUAAAAAAAAAAAAGAAAAGAAAAAAGAAACAACUUUCAUUUAGAAAAAAUGAAGGUAAGCUCUUCCGAUUAACUAUUCCUUUACUUCCGUCCGUUUCUUUCUCUGUUGGACAAUUUUAGAAGCAACCAAGGAAAAAAAGAAAAAGAAAAAAGAACAUCCUUUUUGGCAUUCUUUGUCCCUCAAAAUUUCAUCUUACAUGAGUUUGCUAAACACCUGGAAAAAAAUUUCUUGUGAGGAAAAGUGGGCUAUAUGCCUAUAUCAUAGAAUUAGAAUUAUGAAAGUUUUUGCUGAUUGCAAUCCUUGCUCUCUAAUGAUGAUAACUUCAGUAUUAUGGCUCGAUUCAGGCGGGAAAUAUUUGUCAAGGAAAUGAUUGUCUUUUCAGAGGUUUUGAUCUUGUAUACUGCAAUAGACUAAUACAUAUGAAAGUUUCUCUUCACAAAUUCUUAAUAGAGGAAAACUAUGCAACACCAUACUUAUGUGCAAAUCUUAUAUCCAGCAGAGUGAACUUGAGCGGAACUUGCUACAAACUUUAAAGGAAACGAGCUUGGUUUACAGAGAAUCUAGAGAUACAUAUUAUGGCAGGAAUGCAGUGUCUGUUUGAUAAAUUGCAAACCCAUGUAGCAAAAGUUGGGUCGAGUUAUCAAGGGGAAGAUCAUAGAACGCCUCAGGCCUUGGAUCAGAAAAAUAGGAGAAAGAAGAGAAGAGAAAAGACAAGAUGGUGCAGAUGGGUGCCAUUUUUUCUUAACAAAAGUGGUGUAAGUUAAUGCAGUCGCUGGAGUGGGUGAGUUUAUAUAGAGCUGAAAGAGAUUGAAGCUUGCUGAAAUAUCUAGUCAUAAAGCUUCCUGAAGGGUUACUUCCUUAAAACUCUUGGGUCCUAUUCCCUGACACCAAAAAGCAGGAAGAAUUAUAUUUUGUGUUUGGAAGGAGUUUGAUGCAGUGCAAUUAUGCAGGCGUGUCUUUGAAUUCCAACCUCAAGUGAAACAUAGUCAUGGUUGCUUGUAUUUGAAUAUUUUGGGAUUUUUUAGGAAAAAAAUGAAGGAAAAAAGAUGGAUAACAACAAACAAUAAAGGAAGGAGAAACUUGACACUGGGACCAGUCAUGUCGGAGAUUUUUUGACUCCUCUAGUUCGUUGUUGAGUGAAAGGCUGAAUAAAGAAUCAAAUGCCGGAAGCAGGUUGUGGGAUGAUCAGCCAAUUGAAGGUAAUUUUUGUUUUUAAGUCUAAAUUAUGUAUUUUUCUCUUCUAGCUUACUACGUGCUUUGUCACUCUCUUUUCAUUUAUCUGUCUUCUGUGAAUCAAUGUGUGCUCUGAAGUGUCCGGUAACUUAUGACAAGAAUAAAAUUUUCUUUUGUUAAAAAGGGAUUAAUAUUUUUUUUUGUACUAAGUUUUGAGUUUCCAAAUGCUUCACUUUUAAUCUUUCAAGUUUCAAAAUGUUGAAUUUUAACCGUUCUUAUUUGUUAAUUUAGAAGAAUUAUAGUUUAUUAAGUUUCAUUAUUUUUAUCACUAUUAAAAUUAAACUUAAACUUAAAUUAAAUUAAUGUCAUUAAGUGUUAAGUGAAAAAUUAAAGUUUAAAGUGUAAAUCUUGAAAUUCAGGUGUCAAAUUAACAGAACUCAAUGGCUAAAAGUGUAACAUUUUGAAACUUAGAAGCCAAAUAGAAACUAGACCUAGAACCUAGGAUCAAAAGGGUAUUCUCAAAUAAAUUAAAGAAAAAACUUUGAUAUUUAAAUGAACGUUCGAAAGAUUUUAAGUUUUCGAUGUAAUCUCCAUUAUUAAUUGGUUAUUGAAAUUUCAAUUUUGAAUAAAAGAGGUUGUUGAAUUUCAACAAAAACUAAAGAUAUUGUAUUCAAAACCAAAGAUCAAUCAGUUUUAAAAUUGUAAACACAUUCAUUUGAUGAUGUGGAGAACUUUUUUGGGAUAUUUGGACUUAAAGAACCAAAGACUCCGCUUCUCUUUUGACAACCACCAUAGAUUGGAUUCUUUUCUCCCCUCUUUUGUAAAUUUCAUAUAUCUAUAGAAUUCUCUCUCACAAAGAGACGUUCAAUAGAAUCUUAAAAUUCUAUGGCAUUAAUUGAAUUUAGUGUUGGUCAUGUUGAGUUGAUUGUUGGAACUUUCCAAUCGACUGCCUUCCAAUUGCGAUUGGUUUUCUUUAUCAAUUAUUUCAAUUAGCAUUAAUAGUUUAUUAGCCAAAUGAUUGAAGGUUAGAAUCUCUAUCACUUCACAUCUUUAAAAGAAAAAAUGCAACAUAUAAAAAGGACGCUUCUGAACAAUAACGGAUGUCACAUUAAAAUUUUCACGUGAAAAUUCAUUUUUUGUAUUACAAGGAAAUGAAAAGAAGACUAGGAGAGAGAUGACCCGGCCAGUGAAAUAAUAAGGCUGGGCAAUCGGAUAUGUUAGCAAGCCCAAUUGCCAAAGUCCCAUUAACUAGUUCCCAUUCAAAUACAUGAGUACACCAAGCCCAAGUUCUGAUCUGAAUGUAGAACACUUGGGUCUUGAAAAAAAAAGGGAAGUUUUGAUAUAUGAAGUUUGAGCUUAGUGUCUAUUUAGUCUCUAACAUCUAAGGAAUAGUUCUAAAGGAUUUUUAAGUUAAUUUGAUCGUUUCUAGUCUAACAGAAAAAACGAUGUCUAGUGUUGAGGUGAUGAAUUAUAGGUAUAUAUGUAUAUAUAUAUGUUCUUUUUAGAUUGUGAAUAUCACAUCGAUGAGGCGGCAAAUUCUUUGAGAAUGGGGUCGAUACCACAUUCCUUAUCUUCAUCAAUUUUGUGAGCAAUUUAGGCCACCCUGGGCAUCAAAGUCGUUCAGUGGCCUCUCAUAAUUAAAUAAGAACGUUUUUUCUUCCUUCUUUUAUUCUAUACCAGGAAAAACAGGCUAUGUCAUAGAUUUAGAACUAUAAAAGUUUGAGCUGAUUAUAUUACAUUUACAAUCUUUGCAUUUCUCAUGUUGGAAGUUUUUGAAAUUGAACUCCAGUACCACAAUAUCACAAGUGCACAUGAUUAACAGAAGGGAACUGUGAAAUGACCAUUACUUAUCUGCUGUCUUCAUCUUCAACAGAAAUCUUGAGCAGACUUUGGAGAAGACUAACAGUUUGAUUUGUAUUAGCAAAUUAUAACACAAUUGCAGUAUCUGUGUGGAAAAUAGCAUACCCGAUGAGCGACAGCUGUGCCGAGUGUUCGAGAGGGAGACCAUAGAAUGCCUCAGGCCAAGGAUCAGAUAAAAAGGAUAGAGAAGACAACAGAAAAGACAAGAUGGUGGAGAUGGGAGCCAUUUCUUUUUCUCUCCAAAUCCUCUAGAUGAGUUGUUUUAUAAGAUUAGUCAAAAUGCAUGCAAGCUGAUUCAGGCACUCACAACCACUGUCAAAGAGAAAAAAGUAAGAAAGAAACACCAACAGUAGCAAAGAAAAGAAGAAAAGGAAAGUAAAGGGAGAUUGGUAAAGGACCAGACUUGACAGAAGAGUUUGGAAAUUGGAAUCCUAUGGUUCAUUGUCGAGUGUAAGGCUUAAUAAAGAGUAAAAAUUAGAAGCUUAUGUGAUGGUGAGCCAAUGAAGGUCAUCUUUGCUUUUAAGCCUGAACUAUGCAUUUUUGCUUUUUUAGUAUAUUAGGUGCUUUUUUCAUUCUUGUUUCUUUGUUUUGGCAUUUGUGAAUGAAUUUUGUGUUUAAGUGUGAGGUUACUUUUGACUUAUAUCAAGAAAUAGCAUAAACUUCAAAGAUAGAAUAAAGAAUAGCUGUGAUUAUAACUU